ACACGUCACUAAACCGAAAGCUCCAAAAUAGAGAGGUGGGCCCUGGCACCAACGUUCGAAUUUCCGCUGGAUUAGGGUUCCAAAUUAGAUUUCGGGGGUUUGUUUUUUUUAAGCUUCGAUUAAAGAUGCAGAAAGGGGAAAAAUGCAGAAGAGAAGAUGGAGAAGAAGAGAUCGAUGCCGAAAAUAUGCGAUCCUGAUCAUUCUCUUUCCCUCGAGAAGGAAUCUUAGCUUUAGCGACACUUUGGUGGCGCUUCGUAUAAUGCGAUCUCAGUUUCCUCAAAUUGAUAAGGUUAGCUCUAUACUUCUCCUUAAAGGUUGCAAUUCGACAUUUCAUUUUACAGUCACAAUUGUGUAGCAUAGUAAAGAACAGAACUUAAGUGGAUAGAGAGCUAGAGGUUUGGUUCCUUAACCUUCAAAUUUGGAAUAUUAUUUCGGAUGCAAAAUUGUUCCUGAACUAUGAUUCAAUUUGAAGUUUGGCCUAAAAUGUAUUUUAUUAAUUGAAUAUUUGUUUUCAUUAGUUGAGUGGCCUGUUAUUCUCUCGCAUUUUGCGCUGAAGCCUCUAAUUGUAGAUCCAAGUUUUUGGACUUUAUUCUAUGAGAUAUAUAUUGUAUUUGGAUUUUCUGCACUUUAUCUAUUUCUCUAAGGCUUCAUGGUUUCCCAGGAGAAGGAGUCACCCACUCGGCUACUCCCCAAGUUCAAAGUAGAUCCAUGUCCAUUUUGCAGGUUUUAGUUAGACAUGUACAUUUCAAGGCUUACAUCAUGUGCUUCCUGGUAAAAUAGAUAUUUGGGACAUGUUCGUGACUGAAACAUGAUAAGAAAAGAUUUCUAACAAUCUGAAUAGUGAGCGCCUGGUUCUUCUGAAGUGAGCAUGUAAAUCUUCUUUUUUGUUAGGAGUUUCUUUGAUAUGUAAUAUUUCUUGCAACUUCCUCUCCUGCAUUUAUCUAUAGAAUAGUUUUUCCACUUAGUUCCAUUUGGUUUAUAUUAUAUGUUCUCUUUCUGCACUCUCUAAGUAGGGAGAAAGCAGUGCUUGUUUUCAAUCUAAAUACUGGACAAGAUGAUCAUGGUAUAAUGUUUUUAGAUAAUUAUCAAAAACAGGUUGGUUGAUUGAUGUUUCUAAAUUCGUUUGAUCAAGGAUGAUUAGCUUGUCAUGUUUAGUUUGCAACUUUAAUGUCACUUAGUUCAAACUGAGGGCCUGUUACUUAUAAUCUGGGCUGACUCUGAUUGAGGUAUUAGGCUUUAUGGUGCUUGGUAUUGUUAGUGAGGGAUGCUUGUUUUGUUGCAAGGCUAAUAAUGUAGGCUUCAUUUGACUGUUUUUCUCUGUCCAUAUUAUUUGUACACAUAGAACAUGCUGUCAACUGCAUGGAAGAAAGGAAACAAGGUGAUCUUGAAGUUUUAGAUGGUUUACAGUGCAUGUAUUGAAUCCAAGCUGGAACCUAGCAUUGAACAUCAAGAACUUGUGAGUGACCUAAACACCAACGAACUAUGAUGUUCGUUUACAUUGUACUCUGCUUUGAGACAGACUAACUUUGUGUUUAUCAGAACCCUCUGUCAUCAACUACAUUCUGCAAGUACAAUUUUGAGUCAUUGUAUGAAUUUUUUUUUUCUGUUAACCAUGCAUGUCCUGCAAUUGUGGUGAGCUUAAUUUUUCCCCUUUAUAAGGAAUUUUCUUGAAAGUCCCCUUGAGGAACAUUGGCUCUUAUAGUCAAAAUUAUUUAAAAAAUUAAUAGAUUCUAGCCACUACAAGUCUGUUUAAUCUUUAGUUUGGAUCUCCGUCUUUUGUUUUUUUCUCUUUGGUCUCUAACUGUAUUGAAUUUUGGUAGAUAGAAUAGGCAGACCCACUUAUCCUUUUCUUUGAUUGGGUAGAGGCAUUCAUAUUUUUUAAAAAGGGCUUAGGUUCUGAUGCUACUUUAGCACCUAAUUUUAAUCUCUUGGCACACCUACUUUUUACUUGGAGAUUUGACAUGACAAAAAGCUUUUGAGUGUUUAAUCUGUGGAUGUCCUUUACAGAUAAAUUGGCUAUUGUGUUGUAUUUCAAGUGGCUCAAAGCAUUUCCUUAAGUAAUCAUUUUGGAUCUAUAGCCAAUAAGUAAUCUUGUAUUGUAGGAGCAUUCCGAAAUUUACUUUUGACGUUGAUUAUCAUGUGUUGUUGUUUUCAUCAUCAUCAUUUAGUAUUUUAGUAUUUGGGUGCUGAUGUAUUUAGUAUUUUAGUUGCAUUGUCUGUGUACAUGUGGUGUAUAUGACAUACUUGACAACUAGUUGUGAUGUGAAAACUUUAAAACAAUUUAUGAGUUUUACUAAUUAUCAAGUUGUCUAUAUAGUGGCAGACUCAUAUGUGUACGGGUGUGUGACAUGUGGGUAAAAUGUGAUGACUUCAGAGAUCUUAUAUCAUGAAAUUUUCUUCUUACUUAAGAAGAUAU